rnacentral:rRNA from 1 species
AUACGUAGGGAGCGAGCGUUGUCCGGAAUUACUGGGUGUAAAGGGAGCGUAGGCGGGAAGGCAAGUUGGAUGUGAAAACUGUGGGCUCAACCGACAGACUGCAUUCAAAACUGUUUUUCUUGAGUGAAGUAGAGGCAAGCGGAAUUCCUAGGGUAGCGGUGAAAUGCGUAGAUAUUAGGAGGAACACCAGUGGCGAAGGCGGCUUGCUGGGCUUUUACUGACGCUGAGGCUCGAAAGUGUGGGGAGCAAACAGGAUUAGAUACCCUGGUAGUCCACACCGUAAACGAUGAUUACUAGGUGUGGGGGCGUCAAGCUUCCGUGCCGGAGUUAACACAAUAAGUAAUCCACCUGGGGAGUACGGCCGCAAGGUUGAAACUCAAAGGAAUUGACGGGG